CAAUAGCGUAUAUUAAAGUUGUUGCAGUUAAAAAGCUCGUAGUUGGAUUUGUGGCGUACGGUGUGUUCCGGGCACUUGUUGUCUGAGUAACCUGCUGUUGCCAUCCUUGGGUGGAACCUGUGUGGCAUUAGGUUGUCGUGCAGGGGAUGCCCAUCACUUACUGUGAAAAAAUUAGAGUGUUCAAAGCAGGCUUAUGCCGUUGAAUAUAUUAGCAUGGAAUAAUGAGAUAGGACUUUUUUGCUAUUUUGUUGGUUUGCGCAAAGAGGUAAUGAUUAAUAGGGACAGUUGGGGGUAUUCGUAUUCCAUAGUCAGAGGUGAAAUUCUUGGAUUUUUGGAAGACGAACUACUGCGAAAGCAUUUACCAAGGAUGUUUUCAUUAA
rnacentral:rRNA from 1 species